GGGCCGUUAGCUCAAUUGGCAGAGCAUCUGCCUCUUAAGCAGAGGGUUGAAGGUUCGAUUCCUUCACGGCUCACCA
rnacentral:tRNA from 1 species